UACAGAGGGGGCAAGCGUUGUUCGGAAUUACUGGGCGUAAAGGGCGCGUAGGCGGCCUUCUAAGUCGAACGUGAAAUCCCCGGGCUCAACCCGGGAACUGCGUCCGAUACUGGAAGGCUUGAAUCCGGGAGAGGGAUGCGGAAUUCCAGGUGUAGCGGUGAAAUGCGUAGAUAUCUGGAGGAACACCGGUGGCGAAGGCGCAUCCUGGGACCGGCAUUGACGCUGAGGCGCGAAAGCCAGGGGAGCAAAGCGGG
rnacentral:rRNA from 1 species